rnacentral:rRNA from 1 species
AUACGGAGGGAGCAAGCGUUAUUCGGAAUCACUGGGCGUAAGGGACGCGUAGGCGGGUUUGUAAGUCAGGUGUGAAAUCCUACAGCUCAACUGUAGAACUGCACUUGAAACUACAGACCUAGAGUAUGGAAGGGGCAGAUGGAAUUAGUGGUGUAGGGGUAAAAUCCGUAGAUAUCACUAGGAAUACCGAAAGCGAAGGCGAUCUGCUGGGACAUUACUGACGCUGAGGCGUGAAAGCGUGGGGAGCGAACAGGAUUAGAAACCCCAGUAGUCC